GCUGUAGGGUUUGGCCCGUUUCAAGGUUUGCCAUUUAAUAUGAAAUUCAAUUCCUUUGCGCUUUAACUGCCAGACAUAUUUACUAAGUUCAGUGGAGUUCCUUUUCUCGUACAAAGUAAAUGAGGAUUGUGGUUGUAACGGGCCAAACCCUACAGC